rnacentral:RNase_P_RNA from 3 species
UAAAUUAAGUGGACGGCCGCCCUGUAAAAAGGGAGGAAAGUCCGAACACCCGCGUGUAAACGCGUCGUGGUACCACCUAACGGGUGGGCAAUUUGGCGGGAUAACCCAAGGCAACUUGGAAUAAACUCGCCUGACGGAUCAGUGCCACAGAGACAAUACUAACUGCCACAAGGCAGUGAAAGGUGAAAAGUGAGGCGGUGUGUCGUGGUUUAAACUCUAAAGGUUUAAACAACGUCUCUGCUACGCCUCUUACGCCAAGGCAACUUGGCGCGGUGGAAAACCCUACCUGGUGCAACUUCAUAUUCGAAAGCUUGAGCUUGGCAGUGAUGCCUAGCCCAGAGAGAUGGCCGUUACCCCGCAAGGGGGGACAAAAUUCGGCUUACAGCUUAGUUUAGCAA